AAAGAGGGUACUACAUGCUACAGUCGCAAAGCAACUUGAGAUUUCUAAGUUGCUAGAUGAUUUACGGGAGUCUAGUUGUCAUGUAAGUAUCGUAUAUUUUAAUUAUUUCAUGGAUUAUUUUAGUUCAAUUUCAUGUUGCAAUAUUAUCAAGCAAUCUGCAGUGAGGUUACCAUACCCAAAUUUGUCAUUGAUAUGAUCUACACCUUCCGUCUCAUCAUGUCUUGUCUGACCCUGUUGAUAUGCCUGGUAACCUUGUUACACAGUCUUGAGUUACACUACAAUGCAUGAAAGCUGAGGCUUGAGUGGACGUGUGGUAGUCAGAUUUUGUUUUUAAAAUUCUCAUUAUCAUUACAUUUGGAAUAGUGUUCUUACUAACUUACACCGAUGGGGAUCUUUGUUGCAGCAAAGAAGAUUAUUCUGUUGAGGACCU
rnacentral:misc_RNA from 1 species